rnacentral:rRNA from 1 species
UUAAUAAGCGGAGGAAAAGAAACUAACAAGGAUUCCCUCAGUAACGGCGAGUGAAGCGGGAAGAGCUCAAAUUUGAAAUCUCCGAUGCCUGCAUCGGCGAGUUGUAGUUGCGAGAAGCACUUUCUAGGCGGAUCGGUGGUGCCUAAGUUGCUUGGAACAGCACGUCGCAGAGGGUGACAACCCCGUCUGUGGCGCCGGCGGCCGCCGACGAUGUGCUUUCGAAGAGUCGGGUUGUUUGGGAAUGCAGCCCAAAAGGGGUGGUAAACUCCAUCUAAAGCUAAAUACUGGCGUGAGACCGAUAGCGA